rnacentral:lncRNA from 1 species
GUUUACUUUUCUACAUUGGCUUGAGGUAUAGGGGGAGGGUUGAGAUCUCACAAACAUGUUUAACACCGCCGCAUUUUUGCGCCUGUCCCAAGUCAGGAGCUUCUGGCCUUUGUUAGUCUUGUAUUAUUUUAAUUUUAGUUUCUUGUGUACAAUUUGGAAAUUAGUAUGGCGUUCAUUAUCACUGAACUAGUAUAUAUUUGUUUAGGGGCCAGUUGAAGGACGCCUCCGG